AGCUGAAGACCGAACCCAGGGCCUUGUGCUUCCUAGUCAAGCACUCUACCACUGAGCUAAAUCCUCAACCCCCAGGAAUAACAUUUUAGAGGGCCACAAUGUUUACUCACUGGAGGAUUUUUGCAGUGAAUCAUCAGAAAGUAUUCAGUACCAUGUGUUACUGUAGAAUAAGAGCAAUUUUAAAAAGAUCAAAGACUCGGGUGCCUCUUAGAAGAAACUACAGCUCCCCACCAGGUGUAGUAGGAAAUGAUGUCAAAUCCCUUCGUUCCGUCAUUAACCCUCCUGUGGCCAAAAUUCGUAAUAUUGGAAUUAUGGCUCAUAUUGAUGCAGGGAAAACUACCACCACAGAACGAAUCUUGUACUAUUCUGGAUACACAAGAGCAUUGGGAGAUGUCGAUGAUGGAGACACAGUGACAGAUUUCAUGGCUCAAGAACGAGAAAGAGGCAUCACCAUCCAGUCAGCAGCUGUGACAUUUGACUGGAAAGGGUACAGGGUCAAUCUGAUUGACACACCAGGUCAUGUGGACUUUACCCUGGAAGUUGAGCGCUGCUUGAGAGUGUUGGACGGCGCAGUGGCUGUGUUUGAUGCCUCCGCUGGUGUAGAGGCACAGACUCUGACCGUGUGGAAGCAAGCUGACAAACACAAGAUACCCAGGAUCUGUUUUUUAAACAAGAUGGACAAAACAGGAGCAAGUUUUAACUAUGCGGUUGAAAGCAUCAGGGAGAAGUUAAAGGCGGAGCCUCUGAUUCUACAGCUGCCAAUUGGUGAAGCCAGAACUUUCAAAGGAGUGGUGGAUGUAGUAAACAAAGAAAAACUUCUUUGGAAUUCUAACUCUGAUGAUGGAAAAGACUUUGAGAGAAAACCCCUCUUGGAAACAAGUGAUCCGGAAUUGCUGAAGGAGACUAUUGAAGCAAGGAAUGCCCUGAUUGAACAAGUUGCAGAUUUGGAUGAUGAAUUUGCUGACUUGGUUUUAGGAGAAUUUAGUGAAAAUUUUGAUUUGGUACCAGCUGAAAAGCUACAGACUGCAAUCCACAGAGUGACGCUGGCUCAGGCCGCGGUGCCUGUGCUGUGUGGGAGUGCCUUGAAAAACAAGGGCGUUCAGCCCUUGCUGGAUGCCGUUACCAUGUACUUGCCGUCACCUGAGGAGCGCGAGUAUGGGUUUCUGCAGUGGUAUAAAGGUGACUUGUGUGCACUGGCAUUUAAAGUGCUGCAUGACAAACAGCGAGGACCCCUGGUUUUCCUGCGCAUCUACUCGGGCACGCUGACACCCCAGUUGGCCAUCCAUAACAUUAACAGGAACUGCACGGAGAGAAUGAGUCGUCUGCUUCUGCCCUUUGCUGACCAACACGUCGAAAUCCCUUCCCUGACGACCGGUAACAUCGCUCUGACAGUUGGUCUUAAACAAACUGCCACUGGAGACACCAUUGUCUCUUCCAAGUCCAGCGCCUUAGCUGCAGCCCGUCGAGCAGGAAGAGGAGAAGAAAAGAAGCACGGGACAAACAGUGAAGCGGAGAGUCUGCUGCUGGCUGGGGUGGAGAUUCCAGAACCUGUUUUCUUCUGUACCAUAGAACCGCCAUCAGUGGCUAAGCAGCCAGAUUUGGAACAUGCCUUGGAACGCCUUCAACGUGAAGAUCCCAGUUUGAAAGUGAGGCUUGAUCCUGACUCUGGACAAACGGUCCUGUGUGGUAUGGGGGAGUUACAUAUUGAAAUUAUUCAUGACCGAAUCAAGAGGGAGUAUGGCCUAGAGACCUAUCUAGGGCCUCUGCAGGUGGCAUACCGGGAAACCAUCUUAAACUCAGUUCGUGCCACAGAUACCCUGGACAGGACUUUAGGAGACAAGCGGCACUUUGUGAGCGCAGAACUGGAAGCCCGGCCAGUGGAGGCAGCAGCUGGCAUGGCCGUGAUUGAGUAUGCUGACUGUGUCAGUGAAGGCCUAGUGCAGGCCUCCCGUGAGGCCAUUGAAAAUGCAGUCCACAGUGCAUGCCUCCAGGGACCUUUACUUGGCUCCCCAGUUCAUGAUGUGGCAAUAAAGUUGCACUCAUUGACGAUUCACCCCGGUACCUCGACAACUAUGGUUAAUGCCUGUAUCUCAAGAUGCGUCCAGAAGGCCCUAAAGAAAGCGGACAAGCAGGUGCUGGAGCCACUGAUGAGUCUGGAGGUCACAGUGACUAGAGAUUACCUCAGCCCUGUCCUGGCAGAUUUGGCACAAAGAAGAGGGAACGUUCAGGAAAUUCAGACUCGCCAGGACAACAGAGUUGUUAUAGGAUUUGUUCCUUUAGCGGAAACUAUGGGAUAUUCAACUGUGCUUCGAACGCUGACAUCAGGCUCAGCUACUUUUGCCUUAGAAUUCUCUACGUAUCAAGCCAUGAGUCCUCAAGACCAAAGUACUCUGCUCAACCAGAGGAGUGGUUUGGCCCAAGUGCUUUAGGUCCUUGGAAAUGUCCGGAAAAGCACUUACCUGCUCCAUUCCCAGUGAGAACGGAUGCUGUUUCAUUCAGUGGCCGAGCACUGCUGUAAACAGUGUGAUUCUGAAGUCCUCCAAUCACUUCCGGGACCUCUACUGGAACACUUACCCCUGAUGUAGCUAACUCCUCGGGGAUGCACCUGCCCUUCCUUCUAAUUACACUCCAGGAUUUCACUAUGACUUCUGAAACUCAGCCAUACAUGAAUGGAGAUGCCUCAGGGUAGACCGCUUCGACACUGGGCUUUGUUCCCUAUGCUUGUGACACAUCUUUACACAACAGUGGUUCCCAACCUUCCUAAUGCUGUGCCCUUUAAUACAGUUCCUCAUGUUGUGGUGACCCCCCAACCAUCCCUCAACCAUAAAAUUAUUAUUGUUGCUACUUCAGAACUGUAAUAUUGCUAAAUAUCUGAUAUUUCCAGUGAUCUUACAGGGGUCGAGACCCACAGGUUGGAAGAAAGGAAACCUAGCCUGUCACGACACGUCAAUAACAUUCAACUAUUAGCUGGCACAGAUAUUUAGUUAGGCAACAACGAACACUUGGAAGAAAGAAUACACCACACAAAAUGUAAAUAGAAAGGAACACAAUGAACUCUGAGUCUCCCAAAUGGAUAGAGCAGAGCAAAGCCUGGAAAAGCAGUCCGCAGCCUUCUCUUCUGUGGCUGACAAGCUAAGAAUGAUUUUUGAAUCUGCAAAGCUUUCUUCCUCUCUCUCUCUCUCUCUCUCUCUCUCUCUCUCUCUCUCUCUCUCUCUCUCACUCACACACACACACACACACACACACACACACACACACACACACACACACACACACGGUUCAUGAAGCCCAGGGCUCUGGUCCUUUUAUGGGAAAAAUGUGCUGAUUCCCAGCAGAGCAGCACUGUCCAGUCAGACCUUGAGAACUGGCCUGUCUAGACUGUCUGUCACAGCAGCAGCCAGUCCCCUUGCUGGAAAAGGCUGGGGAUAGCUGUUGCAGCUGAGGACUUUUAACUGCCUGUAAUUCUAAUGAACAAACAGGCGUGUGCAGACCUGGCCGCUGUGCCCACAGCGUAAGCAUCAAGAGAGACGCUCUAGCCUUGACACAUGGAGUGAGUUGCAGCACCCGGAUAGUGACGAGGGUGCAGGCAGCCGGGACAUGGAGCCAAGUUCUCAAGACACAUGACUUCGCCCUCUGUUUCAGUAGUUAUUGCGAAAUGCUCGCUAUUUUAAAGAAAACAGUGUACAGCACUUCCUUCUUUAGUGGGUUUUCAUGGCCCCAGUUUUGUAUGGAAGGGGUGGAGAAAAUGAAAAAGCAGAGAACUAAGUUAUAGCUUCAACUUGUACAAAAGCAUUGAUAGGCUUU